CCACCAACGACGGAGCAACGGUCGGAAACCUAGUCCCUUUUUAAUAAUCGUCUUUUUAUCGCCUAGAGAGAGAAAAUAAAUUUCACUCGAACUUUUUCUGGUAUGUUAACUAAUGUUAGUUCUAUAUUAUGUUUAUGUUGUAAUAGAUUAGAUAGAUGAUGGAAACUAAAAAGUAUUUUUGGAGCAUUUUCAUCGUGGAGGGAUCUUCCGAUAAGUAUAUAUAGCAUAUAUAUAUAUUUUUUUGGAACACAUAUAUAUAGCAUAUUUAAUACUAAUAAUUUUAGUAUGGUCUAAUACUAAUUA
rnacentral:lncRNA from 1 species